rnacentral:rRNA from 1 species
AACGAACGCUGGCGGCAUGCCUAACACAUGCAAGUCGAACGAACCCUUCGGGGUUAGUGGCGCACGGGUGCGUAACGCGUGGGAAUCUGCCCUUUGCUUCGGAAUAACUCAGGGAAACUUGUGCUAAUACCGGAUGAUGUCUUCGGACCAAAGAUUUAUCGGCAAGGGAUGAGCCCGCGUAGGAUUAGGUAGUUGGUGGGGUAAAGGCCUACCAAGCCGACGAUCCUUAGCUGGUCUGAGAGGAUGAUCAGCCACACUGGGACUGAGACACGGCCCAGACUCCUACGGGAGGGAGGAGUGGGGAAUAUUGGACAAUGGGCGCAGGCCUGAUCCAGCAAUGCCGCGUGAGUGAUGAAGGCCCUCGGGUAGUAAAGCUCUUUUACCAGGGAUGAUAAUGACGGUACCUGGAGAAUAAGCACCGGCUAACUCCGUG